GAAUGAGAUCUUCCCAUUUGCAACAGGAUCCAUGGAUGGACCUGGAGGGUAUCAUAAUAAGUGAAAUAAACCAGACAGAGAAAGACAAAUACCAUAUGAUUUCACUUACCCUUGGAAUCUAGACAAGAAAACAGAUGAACGAAGAAACCAAAAGCAAAAAUAGGUUCAUAAAUACAGAGAAUAAGCUGGCGGUUGUCAGAGGGAACGGGAGAGGGAGGCAGGGUGGGUAAAAUAGGUAACAGGGAUUAAGAGGUGUGAACUUUCAGGUAUGAAGUAGUCACAGAGAUGAGAAGUACAACAUAUGGAAUAUAGUCAGUAAUAUUGUAAAGACGUGUACGGAACGUACUAAUGUUAUGUGGCGCAGAGGGCGACUCACUUAGCCCUUCCAGGGUGUGUCCUACAUAGAAGCUGUGCGAUCACCAGGGAACUAACAUGCAUUUCUUUUUUGUUGUUGUUUGUUAUUAAAGUUCAAUUUGCCAACAUAUAGUAUAGCCCCCAGGGCUCAUCCCAUCAUUGCAUUUCAACUACACUUCAAUAACGGAAUCUUUUUUUUUUAAAUAAAGUUACCUCUUUCAGCAACAAGGGCUCCCGAAAGCAUUGGUGGGAGCACAGGGGUUGUUUGUGAGGGCGAUGGGAGGGGGGUGUCUUGUAGGAAAGCAUGUCAGUCUCAUCAGGGAGGGAGGGAGGCAAAGAAACGUGGCGCCCCUCCAACCUCCCUGAUGGCCAUAGACCUUCCCAAGAUUUUUCUCUUCCUUCUUGGUAAAAUGGAAGCAACAUCUAAUGCCGUCUCACCUUGCUCCAGGCUGUGGUGCAGAAAAGUAUUAAAUAAGCCUCCUUGUUUUUCUUGAUGCCCUUUCCAGAUCGAGUCCGGUCUUAUUGCUUUUGGCCAAAGGCUCUUUCAGAAUUUACACAGCAAAAGUCUCUGUAAUCUGAUCUUCCAAGAGGGACAUGAGUCUGUUCUUUGCCUUUCGUUCUCCUAACGAUGUCUUCUGAAGGGCAGAAGCCUUUCAUUUGGACGAAGUCAGAGUCGGGGCUCAAAUCCUGCCCCCUAAGCAGCUGCCGGCGUUUCCACUCACCCGAAGGCCGGGGAGUCCCUGCCAAAAUCAUAGUCGAGAGCCAAUAAUCUGAAUCUGCGUCGCUGGUCGUCGUCGUCGUGCUGCCUCCUCCGGCCUAGUCUUUAAACCAGAAAGGUAGAGCAAGGUUACCUGUGAGGAGUCACGUCGGGUGCACUCCCGGGGAGCGCAGCACCCUCUCCCAGCCAUCUUGCUAAAAACAGCAUCUACAGUCGGAGACAAUACGUGAUCAUGCAAGUGGAUUCCCAGAAAUGUUUUCCAAUCCGUGGUUGCCGUUCGAAUGAGAAAAUGAGAGGAGGAAGUGCAUUAUUGCAACAUUAAGCAAUUAAGGAAAUAUUAUCAAAUUAGAGUGUCCAAAGAGUAGUAAAAUUUAUCAUAAUAAGCGUUUUCUCCCGGUCUUGUCCAAGCAUCAUUUAUUUAACUCACGGUACUUUUCAAAUGACAUCAACGUAAGGGUCCUCUGAGCUUUCAGAGAGGGUGUAGACGACCCUCUCUUCUGAGCCGAGAG